GCCUCGCUCGAUUGCUCCAGAAGGCUUUAAUUUGCACACUCACCUCCGGAUGGUUCUCGGGCCCGGAGGCUCUCAGAUCCACGCCCCGCCGUCCUCCACUCCGGCCCCCAAGCCGGGGCCAGAGCCCCGAGGCUCCCGAGCCUCUCCAGCUGCCCCGCGGGCGGCGCCCUCCGCCGUCCCUCUGCCCCUGUGCCCACCCCCUGCCCGCAGAGCGCCGCUCGCCUGGGCCGCAGUAGUCAGUUACCUGCUCCGCGGGGCGAACGUGUGCGGGGACAGACAGACACUCCAGCUCCGCAGAAGGCCGGUGCCCCUGGCCACGGACUCGCGUGCGUCGGCUGAGGCGCGGGGGUCCCCGGCGAGGUUCGGGUUGGGCGAGACUAACGGGCUGUAGGGGGCUGUGUGGCCCCUCGGAAUUCUCUUGGGUUAACGUUGAGGCUGGGUAGGUUUGGGGGCCAACUGGGGGGAGCUAGAGGUCUCGAGAGGAACCUCCCACAACGGGGUCACCCCGACACCAGGGUCCUAUGCCAGCUCGAACAUUUCGUGCAGAGAUUGUGGGCAGACAGCGUAAUCUCUGCUGAGGGGGAAGAGCGGAGUUUCGCGGCGGCUGCGCCCGGCUUGCGCCCGCGGGCGAAGAGGUCGGUCCGUCUAGCCCGGGUGUCCCCGAGGCGUGUAAGGCAGCGAGUGCGCACCCCGGUUCCACUGUGCCGCGUCGGCAGCCUGAAGCCAGCAUGGAGAAGGACAGCCUGAGUCGCGCCGAUCAGCAGUAUGAGUGCGUGGCGGAGAUCGGCGAAGGCGCCUACGGGAAGGUGUUCAAGGCCCACGACCUGAAGAACGGCGGCCGCUUCUUGGCUCUGAAGCGCGAGCACUCGCAGACCAGUGAGGAGGGCAUGCCGCUCUCCACCAUCCACGAGGUGGCGGUGCUGAGGCACCUGGAGACCUUCGAGCAACCCAACGUGGUCAGAGAGGUCUGUGAUCCUGAAAGGUGCCUGCUGGCUCCAAGUCACUACCCUAGAGGAUCACUACAGCUGUAGCAAAGGAUGAAUUUGAAAGAUCCUGACAGAAUGUAAAAGGACAAAGAAGCCCUGAAAUUGGCAAGACAGAUGUCAGUGUUAGCAGAACUAGCUUCACUGAUUUAGAAAAAUAGAGGUGCACAAUGCUCUGGCCACUCCUUGAACCUGUGUGUCUGCCAAUGUUUUGACCGUUCCUUGACCCAUGUUUGUGCCCACUGAUGAAGCCCAUUGCCAGGUGUUUGUGAUAUUGGUUGCUGAAAAAGAGUCAGAAAAUCUCCCCAGCAACCACAGCCCAGCCAAUCCUGAGUUGCUACACCUGCACCAGACUCUUUCCUUGUACCCCUCCCAUACCCAUUUCUUGAGACUAGACAUUGUUUAGAUCUGGAAAUCCCUUCUCUCCCCCUUCUCCUUUCCCCCCUGAGGGCCUAUAAAAACUGGGACCUCUUUCCCGUCGAGGUCGACUCCUCUACCCCUGCAUGGGAUAUGAGUCAUCCCCAGAGCUCUGGCUUUCCCCAAAUAAAGCUUCAUGUGGUUUGCAACAAGCUCGGUCUAUCGUGAGUUCUUGGGUAUCCGCUAUUGUCCUGAGGCCUGAGCGAGGGGCUCCUUUCGCAGUCUU
rnacentral:lncRNA from 1 species